GUGUUUUGGUAAUGAUCUCUGAGACUCUAGAACAUGAGUUACCCCUGUCAGUGUGACUCACCAGAAAUAUGCUCAGAGCUUCAUACAUUCAAGGUAAGUUGCUUAGCCAGCCUGCUAAUGGAAGGCCCUGAGCUAUUUCCUGGGGAUCCAGAAGUGACUAUGUCAUCAUCUCUUCCUUGGAUUAGCUUUAAUCCUCCCCCCCCCCCCCCCACACACACACCCAGGAAAUGAUCAGAAACAAAGAGGACAUAGCUUUCCCAUCGCAGAACCUACUGGAUGGAGAUCGACUUCUGUUGGAAUUCCAGUACCUUGUAUCCUGAGACAGAACUGGUCCAACUCACAGUAGCAGAGCUGCUGGAUAGGCAGACAGAAGGGACGCUGGCACAGAAGGUACAACAAGACACUUGGAUGACAGUCACAUAUCUGCUUGCCCAGGUCAUGGGGGAAUCAUCAGAAACAGGCUAUAACUCCGGAUUUUGUCUACCCAAUCAUAAAUUUAUGUGACUGGCCCUGCAGACCUCUCUAGGGGCUCAGACGGAUGUCUCCAGUGAGGAUGGUCUGAACCAGAGAUGAGAUGUGACUGCUGUGUGUCUGCCUGAGCAGGCCCAGGGAGCAGUCCAACGAAGCUUUUGCUUCCAAGUCAAGAAGAAGAGAAAUAAACAGAAUGCGACAACCUGUCCACCCUGCAAGAACAAGAGUGUAGGUCCAGAUUCCUUCUUCCAGCUUGGCAGCGAGCCCUGGAGGGUGGCUGAGGGCCUGUGGUCUGGGAGCAUGCGAAGAGUGUCACACUCAGUAGUCAGAUCUUUCAACAGUCAAUCAGAGCACUUAGGCCAGGACUGGCCAGACAGCUGCCUGUUGGGACUGCAUUCCUACCACAGACUCCCCACUUAGAGAGUCACAUCUGCCUUGCCACCCUGAUCUCUGGACUCCAGAGUUGUGCACCAGCCACCUCUGGGGAUUCUCCUUGCCUGCUUGCUCUGUGUCCCCCAAGAUGUAGGUCUAAUGCCACCAUAGCCUUUACCACCUCAAUAUGAUCACUAUCUAGCUGUCACCCUUGUUGGACUAGGAGAAGUUGAGGGACAAGAACCACAUCUUAGUCAUCCAGUUCUACUGCAGGUGUGCUGCAGCAUGUGUGCGUGGGGAGCAUGGCGGGAAGUAGUGAGGCUGGACCAGCUUAAGUAGCAAGUAAAAGCUGAAUCACCAAGAAAGGGCAAGUGACAAAAAGAUGGUAUAAUCAAAGCCAAGAAAUAGGAAACAGCUCUAAGGAGGAAAGACUAAAACUAUAAAACUAGCUACUCCAUGUUCCUAGUUUUAUAGGUACUUAGAGAGCCUGUUAAUUUUGGAAGACUUCAUGAAUUGACUAUCAGUUCAAGAGACUAGUCUGAAUUGGUCGAGCCAAAUGUUAUCUGUGUGAAAUUAAAGCGUCGUCAAAUAUUGAAAAUA